CAUCCUGCCCAAUGAUUAUUUAAAUGGCUGCAGUAUCUUGACUGUGCAAAGGUAGCAUAAUAAUUAGUCUUUUAAUUGAAGGCUUGAAUGAAUGGUUAUAUGAGAAGUCUAUUUUAUUAUUUUUAAUAUUUGAAUUUGAUAUUUAAGUAAAAAAGCUUAAUAUUAUAUUUGGGACGAUAAGACCCUAUAGAACUUUAUUUUUUUUUUAAUUUAAUCUAUUUUAGUAAUUAUUAUAUUUUAUUUAAUUUAAAUUUUUUGUUGGGGAGAUAAAUAAAUAUUAACUUUAUUUUUUAUUAUCAUUUUAUUAGNGUUUUUUUGAUCCAUUUUAUUGAUUUUAANAUUAAGUUACCUUAGGGAUAACAGCGUAAUUUAAAUGGGGAGUUCAUAUUUAUAUUUAAGUUUGCGACCUCNAUGUUGAAUUAANAUAAGGUUAAGGGGNAG
rnacentral:rRNA from 1 species